AUGGGACUUUGUGGCCACGCCAUUAGUGCUUAAGUGGGGGCCAGUAUCAGUUAACAAAUAUUGUGCUGGCAUCUCAGAUGGUAGCGCGCCAUAAAUCCUAAGUAAUACACCCGGCCGUCUGCUGCCCUCGACCGCGAGAUAUCAUCUAUAUCGAUCUAAUCUAGGAAAUGGUAUGAAAUGAUUCUUACAUAUAUAUUUAUAUGGAUCGAACUAUAAAUGAGUUCUUUGAGGUGGCCUUGGAAGAUACGAAUCGCAGAGGCAAAAAAGAGAUAUUUUGUCCAUGUAAGAAGUGCGAAAACAAAGUUUUGAUUGACCCUUCCACUUGUCGUGUGAAGAUGCACUUGUUGAAACAUAGUUUCAUGCCUGGUUACACACGAUGGACAAGUCAUGGUGAGGACAAGGAGGAUACCAGAUUGGAAGAAGGGGCGACAGUACAUGAUGAUAAGCUAGAAGAAGGAGGCCUGAAGAAAGAGUCCGGACAUGAAAAUUAGCCCGACGGACACUCAGUCCGUGUAGAGGUUCAGGAAGUGAGAAGUUUUUUGUACAAAAGACAGGAAGAACAGAGCGAUAAAGAUUUGUCCAAGAAGGAAGAUCUAGAUGAGCAUGAUGAUGAUAAACAAUUUGGCAUCUAUCAAGAAGAAAGUGAAGUCCAGCUCAAAACAAAGUGUACGAAAAGAAGCCGUUGUUGGGUAGUGUAGAAACUUCUGCCUAGAGAAUUCAGAAACGACGUCGCUGCACUUAAUUAAUUUUAUAUGUAUCUUUCAUUAUUAAGCAGCACUGUAGUGUGUA